GUAGGUGAACCUGCGGAAGGAUCAUUAAUGAGUUAGGGUCUUCGGGCCCGAACCUCCAACCCUUUGUAGUUACAAAACCACUUUGUUGCUUUGGCGUGGCCCGCCCGGAAGUCCCCUCGCGGGGGCCAUGGGCUGCCGGUCUUCGGCCCGGCAAGCGUCCGCCAGAGGAAACCAAACUCUUUUUAUUAAACAGUACGUCCGAGUAAAAAUGAUUAAAUCAAUCAAAACUUUCAACAACGGAUCUCUUGGU
rnacentral:misc_RNA from 1 species